AUUGAACGCUGGCGGCAGGCCUAACACAUGCAAGUCGAGCGAGCGGCGGACGGGUGAGUAAUGUAUGGGGACUGCCCGAUAGAGGGGGAUAACUACUGGAAACGGUAGCUAAUACCGCAUACUAUCGGAUAACCCAUAUGGGAUUAGCUAGUAGGUGAGGUAAUGGCUCACCUAGGCGACGAUCCCUAGCUGGGCUGAGAGGAUGAGCAGCCACCAUGGGACGGAGACACGGCCCAGACUCCUAGGGAGGCAGCAGUGGGGAAUAUUGCACAAUGGGCGCAAGCCUGAUGAACGCAUGACGCGUGUAUGAAGAAGGCACUAGGGUUAUAAAGUACUUUCAGUCGGGAAGCGUUACCGACAGAAGAAGCACCGGCUAACUCCGUAACAGCAGCCGCGGUAAUUC
rnacentral:rRNA from 1 species